rnacentral:rRNA from 1 species
GAUGAACGCUAGCUACAGGCUUAACACAUGCAAGUCGAGGGGCAGCGCAGUGUAGCAAUACAUGGGCGGCGACCGGCGCACGGGUGCGUAACGCGUAUCCAACCUUCCCGUUACUCGGGGAUAGCCUUCCGAAAGGGAGAUUAAUACCUGAUGGUGUUGAAAUUCCGCAUGUUAUUUCAACUAAAGAUUAAUCGGUAACGGAUGGGGAUGCGUGACAUUAGAUAGUAGGCGGGGUAACGGCCCACCUAGUCUACGAUGUCUAGGGGUUCUGAGAGGAAGGUCCCCCACACUGGAACUGAGACACGGUCCAGACUCCUACGGGAGGCAGCAGUGAGGAAUAUUGGUCAAUGGUCGGAAGACUGAACCAGCCAAGUAGCGUGAAGGAUGAAGGUUCUAUGGAUUGUAAACUUCUUUUAUACGGGAAUAAAACCUCCCACGUGUGGGAGCUUGUAUGUACCGUAUGAAUAAGCAUCGGCUAACUCCGUGCCAGCCGCCGCAGUAAGAC